CUGCGCGAAGACUCAGUUUUUCGCUGAGUGGACCUACUGGUUAUACUGUGCCCUAAGAGCCUGCACAUGUCUUUUCCGAAGUUCGUCAACUUUUAUUUCAGGCGACAAAAAACGAAGCUACAUCACGCCAAAUACAACGACGACGAUAACUUUUAGGUUAUAUUCAGAGGUUUUUAGGUUACGUUCAGAUGUACGGUCAUGUUCAAAUUGUAGAUAUAUAUGACGAUAUUUCUCGACUUCAUGUGACAAAAAUAUUAGAAGCGAAAAAACAAAAGGCAGAAGGAGCACAUCUAGCAGCAUGAAUUCAUCAACUAUGACAGAAAUUCUAAAAAAAAAGAAACUAAAAGAGCAAGCUAUUAAAUUAAAAACGGAAAACAGAAUGCUAUGCGAAAGAAUAAGACGGCUUCAAAAGAAGAUGGAAAGGGUGGAAAGAACUAGAAAAAAUAAGGAAGAUCCUAAGGAACAUGAAACUCUUCAUCAAGAUUGUAAGUUACUGCAACUAGGUUGUAAGUUACUGCCCACAAAUGUAGCACAAUUAUUAUCUACACAUAAUGUUGCCCAAAUCAAAAGCAAACAUGGAAGAAGA